UGGGGAAUCUUGCGCAAUGGGGGGAACCCUGACGCAGCGACGCCGCGUGGACGAAGAAGGCCUUCGGGUUGUAAAGUCCUGUAGAUGGGGAAGAAGAAGAUGACGGUACCCAUCGAAAAGCCCCGGCUAACUACGUGCCAGCAGCCGCGGUAAUACGUAGGGGGCAAGCGUUGUCCGGAGUGACUGGGCGUAAAGGGCGUGUAGGCGGGCCGGCAAGUGUAAUGUCAAAGCCCCGGGUAACCCCGGGAAGAGGCAUUACAAACUACCGGUCUUGAGGAAAGGAGAGGGAAGCGGAAUUCCCGGUGUAGCGGUGAAAUGCGUAGAUAUCGGGAGGAAUACCGGUGGCGAAGGCGGCUUCCUGGACUUAUCCUGACGCUGAGGCGCGAAAGCGUGGGGAGCAAACAGG
rnacentral:rRNA from 1 species